AACCACGACAACAACCACGACAACAACUCGGCUAUACGAAAUAGCACGAUAAAAGAAAUACUCACCAAAUUAAACCACAGUAAUACAAAUUUAGGUUUAAUUCAAUAUGUUAGUUUAAUUGAACCAUUACUUGUUUAUUGUUUUUGUUAUGGUAAAGAUGAUGUUUUUAUUUUAUCAUCUACGUGUAUCAAAUUAAUUAAAAAAAAAAAAUAUAGCACUUUUACAAAAUACGGAUCGUUAAUCAUUUUGUCAUCGGUUAAUCUAUUGAAAAAUAUACCAAAUUAUUAUAGUCAAGAAUUUGAUAAACUCAUUCUAUCAUGUAUUGAUACUUUAAUUUAUUUUUUAAAGAGUAAUAAAAGUAGUGACCUAAUUUCUUGGCUUAACUAUCCUAUAUCACACAGAAAUGAAUCCAGUUGUAAUAAUAAUAAUAAUAAUAACAAUAAUAAUAAUAAUAAUAAUAAUGGCGUACGUAACAAUGACUACGACAUAAAUACAACUGACAAGAGUGUACAUAACAGUGACAAUAAAUUAAGAGCAAUCCUUAGGACAAAACAUAAUACAGAGUCAAAAAAGCUAUUAUCGGUAGAAGAUUAUAAAAAAAAUGAAGCACAGAGAAAGAUAAAACAAGAACAAAUAUCCAAAAGAAAAGAAAUAACUAAUAUACUCGAAGAAAAUGUAAUAUCAUUAUAUUAUUCAGAGCAGUGGGAAUAUGAAGAUGAAUAUGAAAUGUAUGAUGAUAGUUCAACUAUACAAUCUUUAAGGUACUGUUUACUAGAUCAAAUAUCUUUAUUAUUAGAUAGUAAGAAUCAUAUAUGGGAACUUUUAUUGCUUUUUAAAAAUUGUUUACUUCGUGAAGAUGUAAAUAACAUUAUUAAAAAUGGUACACUUAUAUUAAAAAUUAAUAACUGUAUUGAACAAAUAUUUUUUAUUAUGAUUCAAGAAGCACAUAAACUAAAAAUAGCUUUUUUAUGUGGUAAAAUAUUUAUCAAUUUUUUAAUACAAUUCCCUAUAUCAUCAACCGAAAAAAAAAAAAAAGUGUUUUUAAUGUUAUCAAAUUUGAAAACAGAACAGGAUGAUGUAAGAAUAGCUAUUUUAAAUGCUUUAUAUUUAUUUUUAAAUAGAGUUAGUCCUAAAUUAUUAAAAGAAGAAUAUUUUCAUGUUAUUUUUAUUACAAUUUUAACAAAUUUCUCAAAUGAAACAAACCAUAAAUGUAAAAAAAUGUUUAUGUUUUUAUUAUCUUUGCUUUUUAAUAAAGUAAAUGAUAUUUAUUUUAUCUUUGAAUCAUAUCAAAUCAUUAAAAAACAGUUAUCCUUCAACUAUUUA
rnacentral:lncRNA from 1 species